rnacentral:sRNA from 1 species
GGAUUUUUAGUAUCUGCCUAAUACUUGUGCCUUCAUCGCAUUAAUGUGCUACGCUUGAUUUAAUUGUUCCCUUUUGAUAUUCAGUUUAUUUCCAGUUUGAUGCUGCAAUACCACUGUGCUGAACGUCUCUGGCACAUUCAUCUUGGUUGCAAUUGUACUUUAGGCUAUAUUUCUAAGAGUGAAAUGACCACAGCCAAAGGUAUGAACAUUGUUCAGGCUUUCAAUAAAGACUGCCAGAUAUUUACAAAGAUUGUGCCAAUCUCUAUUCUCACCACCGCUUUUGAUUAUUGUCCUUAUCUCUGCUUGCCACUGAGCCCCGGGCCAUGUCUCUGUAACUCACUAACGGCCACAUCCCAUUUACUUCCCCAUGAGUAGGAUUUCAGUUUCCCAAACCUGAGGUGAUCUGUCAGCUGGAGAACUGGGACGAGCAAUGGAUCCUGGAUCUACCGAGAGCUGGGAAUAGGAAGGCUUCCGGUAGUGCUUGCCCAGGUUCUGAAGCCAGACACAAGAUGAAAAAGUUAACUCCAAAACAGAAAUUUUCUGAAGAUUUAGACUCAUAUAAGAUAUCAGUGGUAAUGCAGGAAUCAGCUGAGAAACUUUCAAAAACGUUACAUAAGUGUAAAGAAUUUGUGGACAGUUGCAGGCUUACUUUCCCUACUAGUGGUGAUGAAUACAGCAGAGGCUUCCUUCAAAACCUUAACCUUAUUCAAGACCAGAACGCACAAACAAGGUGGAAGCAGGGCAGAUAUGAUGAGGAUGGCAAACCCUUCAAUCAAAGAUCUUUGCUUUUGGGGCACGAGCAAAUUCUCACAAGAGCAAAGUCUUAUGAAUGCAGUGAAUGUGGAAAAGUCAUUAGGCGUAAGGCAUGGUUUGAUCAACAUCAAAGAAUUCACUUUUUAGAGAAUCCUUUUGAGUGUAAGGUCUGUGGGCAAGCCUUCAGACAGCGAUCAGCUCUUACGGUCCAUAAACAGUGUCACCUGCAAAACAAGCCAUACAGAUGUCAUGACUGUGGAAAGUG